rnacentral:rRNA from 1 species
CCUACGGGUGGCUGCAGUGGGGAAUAUUGCUCAAUGGGGGAAACCCUGAAGCAGCGACGCCGCGUGGGCGAUGAAGGUUUUCGGAAUGUAAAGCCCUUUUAGCAGGGAAGAAAAUGACGGUACCUGACUAAGAAGCCCCGGCUAACUACGUGCCAGCAGCCGCGGUAAUACGGAGGGGGCAAGCGUUAUUCGGAUUUACUGGGCGUAAAGGGAGCGUAGGCGGCGUUGCAAGCCAGAUGUGAAAGCCUGGGGCUUAACCCCGGAACUGCAUUUGAAACUGUUCUGCUAGAGUGUCGGAGAGGCAGGCGGAAUUCGUGGUGUAGCGGUGAAAUGCGUAGAUAUCACGAGGAACACCCAUUGCGAAGGCGGCCUGCUGGACGAUGACUGACGUUGAGGCUCGAAAGCGUGGGGAGCAAACAGGAUUAGAUACCCCUGUAGUC